GAGAAAUAGGUGGGGACUACUAAUCCCCUGAACCUACUUAGGUGUAGGAUUUCUUG
rnacentral:tRNA from 1 species